rnacentral:rRNA from 1 species
AGUGAACGCUGGCGACGUGGUUAAGACAUGCAAGUCGAGCGGUAUUGAAGCCGUAGCAAUACGGUGGAGAGAGAGCGGCGAACGGGUGCGUAACACGUGAGAAAUACUGCCUUGAAGUACUGGAAGUAAGCCCACGGGAAACGUUAGGAGUUAAUUAGCCGGAUGUGGCGGCAAGCGGCGAUCGCUUGUCCUGCUAAAGACUUGUAACGGCGCUUCAAGAGGUCUCGCGGCCUAUCAGCUUGUUGGUGAGGUAACGGCUCACC